GGUUUUACUCAACUAAUUAAACUUGACUGGUUGUCUCUCUUCAAGCUAACCACGAAUUUACCUGAUCAACACCACAAGAAUCCAUGGUUGGAUUUAUUCAGAAUUUAUCUCCAGUGUAGGCAAACCAACAAAACUUCUCACAGAAACUGAUCCACAACCAUCUUACCGAUCAAAAUCAAAGGCUGAAGAACAUGGGUGAUUCUCUACUUCAGGACGCCAAAUCUUCAGCUCUUAAACACUCCAAAACUCACUGAUUAAAUUCACAGAAGGGUGAGAAAGGGUCGUCCAUGCUCACUUCUCUUCUCUGAUUUUUUUCUGAAUUUUUGCAUGAGUUUUUCUCACAGAUUUUUCUCUUUUCUUUCUCUCUUUCUCUCUGAAAUUUUCU
rnacentral:lncRNA from 1 species